AUCAGAUACAUUGCCGGCAAUAGAGAGAUAGUUAACUUAGUGCCUAGGAUAGACAGAACAGAGAGUGGGAGAAAGAGAGAUGGCACCAAGCAUGAAUAAAUUUGGUGUCGUACUGUUGGUUUUGAUUGCAUCGAUGGUCUUCUCCGCGGACAAAGCUCAAGCACAUUUUUUUGAGUGCAUGCGUCGGUGUACAGCAUCAUAUGUACUUUGCUGGCAUUAUUGUAUGGCUGAGACCUUUGGCUAUGCCAAACUCUCGCCACAAGAAAUAAAUGUUCUUUCCGAGGAGGCAAAAGCAUUAAAACACUACGCAGAACCACCGUCAGUGCAAGCUGGGGAGAAGCAUCCGUGACAUUCACAUCCGAGACGUUACAAAAAUUGGAAGUUUCGAACCCGGACACUCCGAGCAUGCUCACGAUGGAAAGCCUCUUUGGGAAAACAGAAGCAAUGGUCUCUCUUGUAUCUCGUGUUCUCUCUUCUAUCCAGUGUAUCCAUUUCACGCAAUCUGAAUACCCAAAUUUUGUUAUGAUUGUUGUAAUGAACGUCCAUUGAAGUAUCGAGACAUGCGUUGAUGCGAGACGCAUGUAUUGGUAUGUUACAAAAGUUUAAUCUCAACAACAAUGGAGUUCCAUUUUUAUCUCU